rnacentral:lncRNA from 1 species
GGGAGGUGGCGGCGUCAGCAUCCUGUCGGGAUGUUAGCUGGCCUUCCCGGGAAGAUCGAUGGCCCAGCUCCUCCUCGCUGCACGCUCUCAUACUCUCCCUCCCUGGGAACAGCUCCUCUCCGCCCCUCAAGUCUUGAGGUGGGCCACGCAGCCCCGGCUCUGGAGCAGGAGCCAGGACCAAGCGGAGGGCAGCCCCGGAGCUGGCCGCCCCCAGCGCGCGCUCACCAGCUCGGCGCUCAGCCGGCCCAGUGCGCCCUCGAAGCACGCCCGGCUCUGCUGCUCGCGCGCCGCCGCCCGCUGGAAGGCGCUCGCCAGCCGCCGCCUGAGGUCUUCCAGCAGCUGGCGGGCGGCGGGGGCCUCCUCCGGCACGCGCACGCUCUGGCCGCCCCCGGGGAAGCCGCGCGCGUGACGCGGGGCUGGGGGCCAGAUCCCGGCCCUGCCUGGGACUCUGCGGGGCCCGCGGGAAGCUCUGUUUCGGCGGCGGCGGGACGCCCUGGGCCCAUCUGAGAGAUGCCGGUGCCAGCCUUCCAGAUGGGAUCCUGAGGUUCAACGAAGUUAAGAGACUUACCUAAGGUCAUGUAGUAGACAUGGCUAAAGUGGGAUUUGAUUCCAGAUUAUAUGGCUCCAAGGAUGCUUGAUGAGCAGUGCCAGGUCUGCACCUGGGAUCCGAACCCAUGAACCCCAGGCCACCGAAGCAGAGCACACUAACUCAACCACUACACCACUGGGCCGGCCCCUGGAUGACCAUUUUAAAUUGUCAGUAAUCACACGGAACCAGUAUAAUCAUCUCGAUCACAUCCUUUAAGUGUGUAAGGAAGCCAACUGCUAUGCCAUGAGCUGACCUAUGGAGAGUCCCACAUAGCAAGGAAUGGAGGGAGGCCACUGGACAGUAGUCAGUGUGGAACUGAAGCCCCCAGUCUAGUAGCUCAUGAGGAAUAGAGUCUUGGCACAACCUUGUGAGUGAGGUUCAGUGAGAAUCCUCUCCCAGUCAAGCCUUCAGAUGACACUGCAGCCCCAUCCAAGACCUUGGUUGCAUCCACCUGAGAGACCUUUAGGCAGAGGACCCAGCUAAGCUACACCACAGAUUCCUG